rnacentral:rRNA from 1 species
AUGGAUUGUAAUACUACUCAUCUUGGCCAUCCUCUUAUUUUACCUGGUAAAAAUAGACCUGCAGCUUAUAAUUUUAUUAUUGAUAAGUUUAGAGCUAAACUUAAUUGCUAUAAGGCUAACAGGUUGUCUCAUGCAGGAAGACUCACUCUUAUUAAAUCUGUUUUUGCUUCCCUUCCUGUGUAUUACAUGUCUAAUAUCCUUUUAAGUAAAUCCCCCAUUAAUAAACUCACUUCCAUAAUUAGAAAAUUCUGGUGGACAGGUAUUGAUAAGGAUAAUGCUUCCAAACCUAUCUGCUUUAGGGCUUGGGAUGAUAUUUGCAAACCUAUGCAUCAAGGUGGUCUAGGCAUUAGAGAUCUUUAUAUGAUGAAUAAGUCUAUGGUU